ACAGCAGUAGCCGCGGUAAUACGUAGGUGGCAAGCGUUGUCCGGAAUUAUUGGGCGUAAAGGGCUCGCAGGCGGUUUCUUAAGUCUGAUGUGAAAGCCCCCGGCUCAGCCGGGGAGGGUCAUUGGGAACUGGGAAACUUGAGUGCAGAAGAGGAGAGUGGAAUUCCACGUGUAUCGGUGAAAUGCGUAGAGAUGUGGAGGAACACCAGUGGCGAAGGCGACUCUCUGGUCUGUAACUGACGCUGAGGAGCGAAAGCGUGGGGAGCGAACAGGAUUAGAUACCCCGGUAGUCCCUGUCUCUUAUAC
rnacentral:rRNA from 1 species